CCUACGGGGGGCUGCAGUGAGGAAUAUUGGUCAAUGGGCGCUAGCCUGAACCAGCCAAGUAGCGUGAAGGAUGACUGCCCUAUGGGUUGUAAACUGCUUUUAUAAGCGAGAAAUAUGAUGGUAACUUAUGAAUAAGGAUCGGCUAACUACGUACCAGCAGCCGCGUUCAUACGUAGGAUCCGAGCAUUAUCCGGAGUGACUGGGUGUAAAGAGUUGCGUAGGUGGCAUAGUAAGUAGCUAGUGAAAUCUGGUGGCUCAACCAUUCAGACUAUUAGCUAAACUGCUAAGCUCGCUACCGUUAGGGGUAACUGGAAUUUCUAGUGUAGGAGUGAAAUCCGUAGAUAUUAGAAGGAACACCGAUAGCGUAGGCAGGUUACUGGGACGGUUCUGACACUAAGGCACGAAAGCGUAGGGAGCAAACGGGAUUAGAUACCCGGGUAGUC
rnacentral:rRNA from 1 species